GGAUGAACGCUGGCGGCGUGCCUAAUACAUGCAAGUCGAGCGAACAGACGAGGAGCUUGCUCCUCUGACGUUAGCGGCGGACGGGUGAGUAACACGUGGAUAACCUACCUAUAAGACUGGGAUAACUUCGGGAAACCGGAGCUAAUACCGGAUAAUAUAUUGAACCGCAUGGUUCAAUAGUGAAAGACGGUUUUGCUGUCACUUAUAGAUGGAUCCGCGCCGCAUUAGCUAGUUGGUAAGGUAACGGCUUACCAAGGCAACGAUGCGUAGCCGACCUGAGAGGGUGAUCGGCCACACUGGAACUGAGACACGGUCCAGACUCCUACGGGAGGCAGCAGUAGGGAAUCUUCCGCAAUGGGCGAAAGCCUGACGGAGCAACGCCGCGUGAGUGAUGAAGGUCUUCGGAUCGUAAAACUCUGUUAUUAGGGAAGAACAAAUGUGUCAGUAACUAUGCACGUCUUGACGGUACCUAAUCAGAAAGCCACGGCUAACUACGUG
rnacentral:rRNA from 1 species